CCCUUAGAUGUUCUGGGCUGCACGCGUGCUACGAUGGCGUUUCCAGCAAGUCUGCGAACCCGAGAGGGCCAGCGGAUCUUCGAAUUGGCGUCGUGAUCGGGACAGUCGAUUGCAAUUAUUUGACUCAAACGAGGAAUUCCUUGUAAUCGCGAUUCAUCAUAUCGCGCUGAAUACGUCCCUGCCCUUUGUACACACCGCCCGUCGCUCCUACCGAUUGAGCGAUCCGGUAAAUGUUUUGGAUUGGUGCCGGGGCGGCUAGCUGCCGGUCGCUACGAAAUUUUGUGAACCUUAUCGCUUAGAGGAAGGAAAAGUCGUAACA
rnacentral:rRNA from 1 species